rnacentral:lncRNA from 1 species
CCAACAUUCAGUCGGAAGAAGUAACUCCUAAAACCGCAGAGGAAUCCCAGACCCCCUUGGAAUGUGUGAAUACAGCUCUGGAUUUUGGAGGUAGAUUGGCAAAACAAGAAUGUUUAAAGAGAAGGCCCUCACUAUGACCAUUGUAGAACAUUUCACUGUGGAACAUUUCACUUAAAAUGUGAUCCAAGCUAUUUCUAUUCCGUCCCUGAAGUGCCCCAAGAGUGCGUCUUGAGUUGAGAGGAAAAGGGAAAAGUCCACAUUUUCAUCUAGUGGCAUUUGUAUUGCUAUCUAACAGUAUGGAAAAUUAGCAUAACUGUAGAUACAGUAUCCUGAAAUGUUCUCUCCUUUCACUUAUUCAUGAUAAGAAAUGUGGGCACUUCUGUUGAGAGUUUAAUAAAUGAUGAACUGCCUUUGUUGUCUCUCCUUAGACUAUUCCUAGAAACGAGCAGCCGGAGAUGGAUAUGUCCCUAAAUAAUAAAGUGUUGGAUAUUCUCAGCAAGGAUCCCCAAACUCCCGUAGCUUGCCAAGUAGAAACUAAACAGUCACAAACAAAUUUUGACAUGGUCACAAGGACAGCCGGCUCAGAGUUGUCAGAGGAGAUGCUGGAGAGCGAGUUGGACACUGUUCCCUGUGAAUACUGUCAGCAGCCUAGCAAACCCUCUGUGACCACAGACCAGCUGGUGAACAAUAUGGACCCAGAUGAGCUGUUCUGUUGUGAGGUGGCCUGGAGGAUGGAGGAGUUUCUGAUGGAGCAGGAGGAGGCAAUCCAGGAGAAGAUGGACGUGGGCCCCCACCCGCCGCCACACUGAGGCAGUGAAGGAGUGGGCGGCACAAAUGUCACAAGUGUUUCCUGUUGUCACUUUAAGAAGAUCCCAGUAUUUCACUAUGAUCGAUUUACUGUGACUUUGAUCACACUGCUCAUCGUCAAUGCAAAUCAUAGGUGGAUUCCUAAUGUACAGCUGUUCCUGUGACUCAGAAUUCAGGUUGAAAGAAUGGGAGAGUCAACGGUUUGAGAACGAUGGUUAGAUUUGCUUGUUCUCAACUAAAAAAGGCACAGUGGGGAGAACAAAUAUGUAUGAUUUUUAAGUAAAUAUUUUGCAUUUUGUUUUAGAUUCCGUCUCCCAUCAGUUGAAGUGUACCUAUGAUAAACAUUACAGACCUCUACAUGCUUUGUAAGUAGGAAAACCUGCAAAUUCGGCAGUGUAUCAAAUACUUGUUCUCCCCCACUGUAUGUCUACUCACACGGUCCACCCAACACUUCAUAAAAAUGUAUUGAAUCAUUGUUUAAG